AACGAACGCUGGCGGCAUGCCUAACACAUGCAAGUCGAACGAGACCUUCGGGUCUAGUGGCGCACGGGUGCGUAACGCGUGGGAACCUGCCCUUAGGUUUGGAAUAACUCCCCGAAAGGGGUGCUAAUACCGGAUAAUGUCUUCGGACCAAAGUUUUAUCGCCUGGGAUUGGCCCCCGUUUGAUUAGCUAGUUGGUUGGGUAAAAGCCUACCAAGGUGACGAUCCAUAGCCGGUUUGAGAGGAUGAUCAGGCACACCGGGACUGAGACACGGCCCAGACUCCUAGGGGAGGCAGCAGUAGGGAAUAUUGGACAAUGGGCGAAAGCCUGAUCCAGCAAUGCCGCGUGAGUGAUGAAGGCCUUAGGGUUGUAAAGCUCUUUUACCCGGGAUGAUAAUGACAGUACCGGGAGAAUAAGCGCCGGCUAACUCCGUG
rnacentral:rRNA from 1 species